rnacentral:lncRNA from 1 species
UUACUGUAGGAAGGAAUCGUUGAGAAUCUUUUCAAAUGGGCCCGAGAGGCUGAUCAGCCUUUGAGGACAUAUUCUACUGGACUGUUAGGAGGUGCUAUGGAAAAUCAAGAUAUUGCUGCCAACUAUAGGGAUGAAAAUUCACAGCUGGUAAGCACCAUCUUAGAAUGAAUUGUAGCAUGCUAUGGGAGAGUAUUCCUAAAUUUAUUCUUGCUAUCUGAAUCUGAAUAAGUGAUUAUUUAUACCUUGUACUGCAGCAUAGUUAUAUCAAUAUUUCUUUCUCUUUUUAAAAAACAAAAAUUUUGGAUCCUGAAGGUUCUUUGCCACCCAGCUUCGUCUAUUUUGUUUUUGUUUUUUCCCUUUAAUGUUUUAUUUUGAGACGGUCUUUUUGUUAUUAUUGUUUUGGUAUUGGGUAUUGAACCCAGGGUGCUUUACCACUGAGCCAGAUACUCGGCCCUUUUUAUUUUGAGACAGGGUCUCUCUAAGUUGGUGAGGCUGGCCUGAAGCUUGCACUCUUCAUGCCUCAGCCUCUGAGUCACUGGGAUUAUAGAUGUAUGCAACCAUGUCUGACUCUUCCCCAUCUCUAUUUAAGAUUAAGCAUAAGGGCUGAGAUUGUGGCUCAAUGAUAGAGCACUUGCCUGGCAUGUGUGAGGCACUGGGUUCUAUUCUCAGCAUCAAUAUACCAGUAAAUAAAUAAAAUUAAAAAAUUGAUGGGCUGGGGCUGUGGCUCAAGCAGUGGCGUGCUCGGCUGUCAUGCGUGCGGCCCGGGUUCGAUCCUCAGCACCACAUACAAAAAAACAAAGAUGUUGUGUCCGCCGAUAACUAAAAAAUAAAUAUUAAAAAAAUCCUCUCUCUCUCCCCCCCCCCCACUUUCUCUUAAAAAAAAAAUUGAUCAACAAUGAAUAAAAAUGUAAAAAAAAAAAAAAGACUAAGCAUAAUAUUGCUUCUUAUGGUUGGCCCCCAAAGUAAGUGAUUAAAAGAAAAAGUUAAAAAAAAAAAAAGUUUAUUUGAAAAAUCAAUCAUGGUCAGGAUUGGUGGCACACACUUGUUAGCCCAGUGAUGUAGGAGGCUGAGGUAGGAGGAUCACAAGUUCAAAGCCAAAGCCAGUCUCAGCAACUUAGUGAAGCCCUAAGCAACUUAGCAAGAACCUGUCCUAAAAUUUAAAAAACUGGGUGGUGAUGUGGCUCAGUGGUAAAGUGCACCUGGGUUCAAUUCCUGGCACACCCCCCCCCCCAAAAAAAAAAAAUUAAUCAUGUCAUUAUAUACAGUAUAGAUAAUAUCUACAGUGUAAUAAUUAUCUACAAUGUAGAUGACAAUAUCUAACAGAAUACAACUUAUAAUAGCUUAAAGUUUGAGAAACCUUUAUGUUUGCCUUUCAAAGGCUUUUUAAAAAAAAUCCAUGAUUAAGCCAGAUGUGAUAGUGUAAGCCUGUAAUCCCAGUUUCUUGGGAGGUGAGGCAGGAUUACAAGUUCAAGAUUAGCCUUGGCAAUUUAUCGAGACCUGGUCUCAAAAUAAAAAAAAUUAAAGGGAGUUGAGAGUGUAAUUCAUUGGUGGAGUGUUCACCUCUCAUUUGUGAGUCCCUGGGAUAAAUUCCCAGUGUUGGAAAAAAAUGUAUCUACCUCUUCUGGUUGGAUGGUUCAGCCUACCUUGAAUCAUACCAGGUGAAUUUUAAAUGCCUUUUUGGUGCAAAUCUUCUGAUUUGAGUUCUUUGGGAAAUUAUAUGGGGAUGAAGCUUUUAGCCAUAGUGUAAUUUUAUCAACUUAUAGAAAUCAAAUCAACAAAUUUAUCAAAUUGUUUGCUAUUACUAGGCAUUGUACUGACGGCAUUAGUAUCCAGUUCUUUUUAAGUGGAAAUAAGAAUCAUUUUAAGAAGUAGAAAAGACAACCCCUUUUACACUGAUGUUUGUUGAUAGGUGGCAAUAGUUCUUCGAAGACUGAGGGAGCUACAGCUUCAGGAAGUGGCUUUGCGACAAGAAAAUAAGCGUCCUAGCCCACGGAAACUGUCUUCCGAGCCCCUUUUGCCUCUGGAUGAGGAAGCUGUGGACAUGGACUAUGGUGAUAUGGCAGUAGAUGUAGUGGAUGGAGAACAAGAAGAAGCUUCUGGAGACAUGGAGAUCUCCUUUCAUCUUGAUUCAGGCCAUAAGACCAGUAGUAGAGUAAAUUCAGCAACCAAACCUGAGGAAGGAGGAUUGAAGAAAAACAAGACAGCAAAACAGGGUGACAGAGAGAGCUUUAGGAAAGCCAAACAAAAGUUGGGUUUCUCAUCUUCUGAUCCAGAUCGCAUGUUUGUUGAGCUAUCUAACAGCAGCUGGUCAGAAAUGUCCCCCUGGGUGAUUGGCACCAAUUAUACCCUAUAUCCUAUGACUCCCGCUAUUGAGCAGCGACUCAUUCUCCAAUAUUUGACCCCUCUAGGAGAAUACCAGGAGGUAAGCUUAUUGGGAAGUGUAUUGUUCACACUUUGGGACUAUAUAUUUCUGGGUUAUUUAGUAGCACUUUAUACAUUUUUAUGUUUCUUAACUCUACUAAAGAAGAAAGAGGCUUUGUCCCAAACUGGUAAGGUCUUGUGUAGGUCACUUCUGGUAAAAUUUUUUCUUUCAAACUAUGGUCCUAUGUUUAUUCUUGAUGAGGAAGUAGAGGAAGAGGUGCUUAUUUCUUCUUUAUUCAAUGUGAAAAAUAAAGCCAGAAUUUAAGAUUUAUUUUUGGUCUUCCAUUUCAGUUACUUCCCAUAUUCAUGCAGCUUGGAUCACGGGAGUUGAUGAUGUUCUAUAUUGACUUGAAACAGACUAAUGAUGUCUUGCUUACAUUUGAGGCCCUCAAGGUAAAGUUGUUAUAAAUACUAGGGCACUGAGCAUUUUAUUGGUAGAAACUUUUUAUAUUUAUUCUGCUUUAUAGAGUGGGUACAGUGGGUACUGUUGUCAAGCCCCCUGCUAUUUGCAUUGUAUUCCCAGCCCUUAAACUUGUCUGCCCAGAGAGGCUAGUGGGAUUUGAACAGUAAAUGAAGAAAACUUAAAAUAUAAAAAGCUUUUCAGUUCUUUUAAAAUCUAUUCUUAUUAGUUGUAAAAAUUUCCAGUUUUGAUACUUAGGAUAGUUCUUUGGGAAUAUAUUGAGGGUCAAUUUAAAGAAGCUAAGUUCAGGACUUUAUUAAUUGAGUCAAUACUGAAUCAAAGCUAGAACACAGAACCAAUUAUAUUAAAAUAACUUAAGGGGGGGCUGGGAUGUGGCUCAAGCGGUAGCGCGCUCGCCUGGCAUGCGUGCGGCCCGGGUUCGAUCCUCAGCACCACAUACAAACAGGGAUGUUGUGUCCGCCAAAUACUAAAAAAUAAAUAUUAAAAAAUUCUCUCUCUCUCUACCUCUAUCUCUCUCACUCUCUCUUUAAAAAAAAAUAAAUAAAUAAAUAAAUAAAAUAACUUAAGGGGAAGGUUAGCAAAAGUCCUUUAGAGAGGUAUGCACAAAUAAAAUGACUUUAUAAGAUUGUAUUGUUAUUCAGCAAUAUUUUUCUUUUUUUUUGUUUUUUUGGUACUAGGGAUUGAAUAUAGGAAUACUUUACCACUAAACUAUAUCUUCAGCCCUUCUUAUUUUUUAUUUUGAGACAGGUUCUCGAUAAGUUGGUGUGGGUCUUGAUAGGAUGCUGAGCCUGGCUUCAGCCUCCUGAGUUGCUGGGAUAACUGGAGUGUACCACCACACCUGGCUUAUUGUUUUUAAUUUCACAAAAACAUUUUAGUGGACUGGGGUUGUUGCUCAGUGGUUUUGGAAGGAUUUGGGUUCAAUCUCCAGCACAAAACAAAUAAACAGACAAACCAUUUAAAAGAAACUUUGGUAUUAGGAGGGCAGAGAGUAAUGUCUUGAAAUCUUAAGGUUUUUUUUUUUUUAUUUUUGUUUUUUUCAUUUCUGUUAAUAUUGGCUUUUCUUUUUUUUUUGUGAGAAAGUGGUUGUCUACUUAGAGAAGUCUUGUAUUUAGCACUUUAAUCUUACUUUGAUGUUCAUAGAUUUUUGUGAUUCUUUAAGAUUGUUCCAUGAUAACAUGUGUCUUUGUUGUUCAGCAUCUGGCAUCUCUCCUGCUCCAUAACAAAUUUGCCACAGAAUUUGUUGCCCAUGGUGGAGUACAGAAAUUACUGGAAAUUCCUCGUCCUUCUAUGGCAGCAACUGGUGUAUCCAUGUGCUUGUAUUACCUGUCCUAUAACCAGGAUGCUAUGGAAAGAGUAAGUCCAUUCAGGUUUAUGAGAAAGGGAUUGGGUGGGGACAGACUUUAAAAGAGCACAUUGAGCUAGGCAUGGUAGCACCCUGCUAUAAUAGAAGCCAGCUGGGAGACUAAGACAGAAGGAUAGAAAGUUUGAGGCCAGGCUCAGCAGCUGAGAGAGGCCCUGUCUAAAAAUACAAAAUAAAAAGGGCUAGGGAUAUGAUUCAGUAGUAGAGCACUCCUGGGUUCAAUCUCUAGUACUAAAUAAAUAAGAUAAUCAUAGAAUAACUUGGAUGAGGAAAAAAUGAAUAGUUGUAGAACUAAAUUCUAACGAAAAAUUGCAAGGAAUAUGAACAACCACUUUUCACAAAGCAUUUUAUAAAAGUAAAAUUGUUUAGGAAAGGUUCUAAAAAAUUUCUGACUCUACUUGGAAAAUGCAGGAUGGGUUGCAGUUCUAGAAGCUUUAUUUAUUUUUUGCCAUUUCUGUGGCAUUAAAAUUAGGCACUAUUCCGAUGUUCCUCAGUAACUCCACUGAGGAACUGUUUGAAUCCGUUUAUUGCAAAAAUGAUAGAUGAUAUUUUGUGUUUAUUAUGAGAUAAUUUAUGGUGGAGAUAGUGAAAUCAUCCCAGCUCUUCUCAGGGCUAUAGUUGUUUUGUGUUUGGUUCUGCUGCUUUUCAGGUUAAUCCUCUUUUAUGCUUAGUGAUUUAAAAAAAAAAAAAAAGUAUGAGUGGUGUUGGACAUUUGAAAAGUGAAUCUCCCCCAACCCCGAACCCUUAGGGAAGGUCUUGUCAUUUCUGAAAUGUUUUUCUAAUACUCAGUGGGCAUAUCUAUUCUGCUAAAGCAAAACUGGCAAUUUUUUUUUUAAAUUGAGCUCUGUCUUUGCUUAUUCAGAUAAUCAUCUGGGUUUGGUGUCAAACAAGUUUAUAAUCCUAGCUACGUGGGAGGCCGAGGCAGGAGGAUUGCAAGUUUGAGGCUAGCCUGGGCAAUUUAGCAAGACUUUGUCUUGAAAUAAAUGUAAAAAAAGGAUUGGGGAUGUAGCUCAGUCUUAGAGUCCUUGCCUAGUAAGUGUGAAGCCCUGGGUUUGAUCUCCAGUACAGCCAAAAAAAAAAAUUUCCCCUCUUCAGUUGAACAUUAUGCAAGGAGAUUGAGAAUAGUAAACUAAGCUGUGUAUAACAAAAUUAAUUAUAGUUAAGAUAUAGAAAAAGGCAACAGACCUGGGGAAUGCUUUGUCUAACUCAUAGCAUACAUCAAAAUGCAUAUAAAUAAAUUAAUGAGUCAAUGGAAACUAAACUUGUAGACUUCGUAGGCUCAUCUACUUUUAUCACCUCAGGAAGGGUGAUAAUUUCUCUGAGCCUCUUCCUCAUCUGUUAAGUGGAGAUCAAGUAUCUAUGUAACAGGGCCAUGUGAGCAUUAAAUGAUAACAUUUGUUGGUACUCAGUAUAGGAUAAAUUAGAAUAACUAAAUUUAGGUAGUUUUCAAAGGAUGUGUUCUAAAAUUGCAUUGUAACUUAAACUAAGAAUGAUGACUGGGAAAGAUUAUUAUUUUCUGUAAAGAUAUUUAUACUGAUGAAUUUUUCAUCUCUUUCAAAGAGUCCUUUGCCCACAAUUUUUUUUAAAAAAAACUAUUAUUAUUUUAUUUUUUGCAGGUUUGCAUGCAUCCCCACAAUGUUUUGUCUGAUGUGGUGAACUAUACCCUGUGGUUAAUGGAGUGUUCUCAUGCCUCAGGAUGCUGCCAUGCUACCAUGUUUUUCUCAAUUUGCUUCUCAUUCCGGGCUGUGUUGGAACUCUUUGACCGCUAUGAUGGUCUUCGUCGUCUGGUGAACUUGGUAAGCAUUUUUUACCUUCUCUUGGCAGGAGUGCAGAGAUCCUGCUUGUUUUGGCUGCUUUUAAUAGCAUCCCAAUGAGGAGAGGAAGCUUCUGAUUGGAGGAGUUUUGUUAUCAUUCUUUGUGUACAUUUUUUUCUCCUUCUUUUGUGGUACUGAGGAUUGAAGCCAGAGCCUCAAGCAUGCUAUAGAAGGUGGGUGCUGGAGAUUGAACCCAGGGUGUCACACAGGCUCUGCCUCUGAACAACAUCCCCAGCCCCAUUCCCUUUCUCUUUAAUAGUUGGAGGACUCUUUGUGCCAUUAUAGACUGGCUUUGAAUGCAGUAAUCCUAUGUCAAUCUUGACCUUUCUAAGAGCAAAAGCUUUAUGCCUAUAUAUCUUUUAACAUAAUUAAAAGCUGCGUAAUUUUUUUUAUGUGAGUAUAAUGUUUUGUUUUCAUAUGGCUAUAGCCUGUUGUAUAUGUAGAUUUACUUUGAUAUUUGUUCAUCUUUUAGGCAUAAAAGUCUACCUUGUUUUGGGGGCUGGGGUUGUGGCUCAGUGGUAGAGUGCUUGGCUCACAUGUGUGAAGCACUGGGUUCAAUUCUCCGAACCUCAUAUAAAUAAAUGAAUAAAAUAAAGGUCCGCCAACACUAAAAAAUAUUUUUAAAAAAGUCUACCUUGUUUUCCUUUUACAUUUCUUGUCCUUUCUCCUCCUUCUGCCUCAAUUUUUAAUGUUUAUUAAUAGAUCAGUACUUUGGAGAUUCUAAAUUUGGAAGAUCAGGGUGCACUUCUGAGUGAUGAUGAAAUAUUUGCUAGCCGUCAAACUGGGAAACAUACCUGCAUGGCCUUGCGCAAGUAUUUUGAGGCUCACCUGGCCAUUAAAUUGGAACAAGUGAAACAGUCACUUCAGAGAACUGAGGGUGGCAUUCUUGUUCACCCUCAACCCCCAUACAAGGUAAGAGGUUGUAUUCUGUUUUUGUGUUAUUGGGGAUUGAAUCCAGGACCUUGUGCUUACUAGGAAAACUGAGUUACACCCAGUCCAAGGAUAUAGUUUUUAAAGAUUACUCUUGUUCCCACACACAGUUGCAUCACCAGAUCAGUGGAAUUUCUGUAAGAUAAUGCAUUGUUGAAUUUUACUUUCCCUGUAUGAAGCAAAACAAUUGAAAAUAUAUAUAAUAGGUGAAUUUCAGUGGCAUAUUUUGCUGUCAGUUACUAAGUCAUUAUUUUUCUGGGACACUAAAACUAAAGGGUGAACUUAAAUGUGUGUUAAGGAGCUCGUAAUUUUUGUUUACUGAUUUUUUUUUUGUUGUUGUUGUUUUGUUUUGUACUGGGGAUUGAAUCCAGGGUCUUGAGCAAGUGCUGUACUAGUGAGUUAUAUCCCCAGCCCUUUAAAGAGUUUUCUUCUCUGAAAAGUACUAGACAUUCUGCCUCUUGUGCAGAAUUAUUUUUGGAAAGAGUAUGUCUAUAUCUCUACUUUUCUUUCAUUUUGGAAUUUAUUUGUUAUAUUUUGGGACCAAGAUCAGUAUUUGCAUGUUUUAAAAAUCAGCAGAUUGAAAAUAUAUCAAUUCCCUGUUGCUUCUUUCUCUCUCUUUUUUUUUGGGGUGGGGUACUAGGGAUUGAACCCAGGGGCCUUUUGCUGCUCAGCUACUUACUGUGAGUCUCUUAUUUUGAGACAGGGUCUUGAUAAGAUGCUGAGGAUUUUGCUAAGUUGCUGAGACUGGCUUUGAUCUUGUGAUCUUUCUGCCUCAGCCUCUUGAGUCACUGGGAUUACAGGCAUGUACCACCAUGCCCAUCUUAUUUUUUAAGCUAUGAAACAUAUGUACAAAAUAACAUUGUUAUUUUAUUGGGAAAAAUGUGAGUCUGUAGUUAAAAAUAAACAAAUGUGGUCUGGGGUUGUGGCUCAGUGGUAAAGCACUUGCCUUGAAUUUUGAGGCACUGGGUUCGAUUCUCAACACCACAUGUAAAUAAAAAAUAAAGGUCCAUCAACAACUAAAAUAAAUAAAAUAAAAAAAAGUUAUGUAAUCAUUGUUUCACAUAUUGGCUAUUGACUCAAGAAUUAUGGUAUUGGAAAGCUAUUAUCAAAAUCUGUUGGUCACUGAGCUGUGCUUCAGAAGAUGACAGGCAGAUAAUAGAGUAUAUAUAAAAAUAACAUGUAUGUCUCCUUAUAGGCAUGUUCAUAUACUCAUGAACAGAUUGUGGAAAUGAUGGAGUUUUUGAUAGAAUAUGGCCCAGCUCAGCUAUACUGGGAACCAGCUGAAGUCUUCCUCAAACUUUCUUGUGUGCAACUCUUGUUACAGCUUAUUUCUAUUGCCUGCAAUUGGAAGACCUAUUAUGCAAGGUGGGACCAGAGAAAGGUUUCAAAUGAAGUUCCAUCCUGCUUUUUGCUUUUAUUAAAAUUGAUGUUGGUUUGGUUUGCACAUUGUGUACACUUAACAAACAUUUAUUGAAUUUAGACUUGAAUUUGAGAAAUGAAAUUAAGCACAAAAAUUUGAUUUUAAUUUACAGAGUGCUUGUUCCUAUAUAUGGUCUUGGCGAUUGUAAACAUUACAUGGUAGACAAGGAUCAACAAUUUAUACUCUCAGAAGUUAUGUAAUUUACAUAUCUUUAUCAUAGAGCUGGGUUUGAAGUCCUCUCUUGAAGCUGGAGUCCUUGUUUUUUGGUACUUAAACUUUUUGAAUAUCUUUAGCUUGACAGUCGUGUAUUGUUUAUCGUAGAACUGUCUUUUUGCUCUUUGGAUCAACACACUGUAAUGAUUUUCACAAUUCUGUGAAAUUAAAGGCAGUCAGCAGAGUAGGGUGAAUCUCAGAAGAGGGCAGCUGAUAUAGUAGGGAGGUUGGGUGGUUCUGUUUUGAGAAUGAUGUAAAAAUAAUUAAAACUAUAAUUUGAAAAAGAUGGGGGUUUGAAGAGAAUAGUAAAGAAGUUUAUAAAUAGCAUUUCUUGACCUCCCCCUUUUCCAUGUCUACCCAUUGCUAUAAAGACAGUUGGGGCUUAUUAGAGGAAGUAUAUAGCUUGUUUGCUAAAUUCCAGUAUACUAAAUCUAGUAGGGUACUUUUGAAGCAACCGUUCUCUAACUUCCUGGCCUAAGGACCCUUUUACCAUAUUAAAAAUAAGAAGGAACUCUGAAGAGCUUUUUUUUUUUUGUUAUGUUUAUCAGUGUCUACUGUCUUAGAUAUUAAAACAAAAUGUAAAACUAUAAAUUUACUUUAAUGUGAUCCCAUUGAAUUUUAGCAUUUUUUUAUGAAAAAUUUCUAAAAUAAAACCAGAUGAUUUAGCAAAGCUUUAAAAAAAAGGGUUGGCUUAAUAUUUUACAUCUUCUUUAUAUUCAGUCUUGUAACAUUACAUAUCACAUAGUUUUUGGAAGACUCAUAUUUGGGGCUGGGGUUGUGGCUCAGUGGUAAAGUGCUUGCCUUGCACAUGGGAGGCAUUGGGUUCUAUUCUCAGCACCACAUAAAAAAGUAAAUAAACAAAAUAAAGUUCUUGUGUUCAUCUACAACUAAAAAUACUCUUUAAAAAAAGACGCAUUUGUGAGAGAAUGAGAGUGAGAAAGGAAAAUAACAUCUUAACAUUUUUAUGAACAUAGCUUAACUUAAUGGAACCUUCUAAAAGGGUCUUGAAGACUUCUGGGAUUCACUUGUCUGCAGCUUGGGAACCAUUGUCAUGUGUGUAUGUGUGUAUUUAUUUAAAAGCAGUGUGGGUGAUCAAACUCCAAGAUCUUGAGCAUGUUAGGCAAAUGCUCUAUCACUGAGCUAUAGUGUCAUUUAGUAAAUAGAUGGUACCUGAGCCCUGAGAACUGCUUUUUUAUAGUAUUGGAAAUAUGUAGGUUAAUAUAUUUACUUGGAGAAUUACUUAAAAGAUAAUGAAAGCGUGUUGAGCAUGGUGGUGCACACGUGUAAUUCCAGUGACUUGGGAGUCUGAGGCAGUACAAAUUUGAGACAAAGUGAGGCCUCAAGCAACUUAGAAAGAUCCUGUCUCAAAAAAUAAAAAGGGCUGGGGAUGUGGCUCAUGCUGAAGUACUCCUGGGUUUAGUCCCCAGUACCAAAUAAAAGAUAGUCAGGAAGGAUAUUAAUAUACAUUGUUUUGACUGAUAUAUAUAUAUUUAUUUAUUUAUUUAACUCAUUACAAUUCUUAAUGUAAAAAUAUGUCAUUGAUUUAAAAAGCAUAUGCAGGGGCUGGGAGUAUAGUUGAGUCGUAGAGCAUUUGCCUAACCCAUGUCCUAGUUUUGAUCCUUACUACUGCAGAAAGAAAGGCUUAUUUAUUUUUUUAUGUGUGGUGCUAGAGAUUGGACUCAAGGCCUUGUGCUUGCUAGGUAAGUGCUCUAACCUGAGCUACAACUCCAGCUGAAAUAUUUUUUUUUAAAAUAAAAUUAAUAGGCCAGGCGUGGUGGCACACACCUGUAAUCCCAAUGGCUUGGGAGGCUGAGGCAGGAGGAUUGUGAGUUGAGAGCCAGCCUCAGCAACUUAGUGAGGCCCUGAGCAACUCAAUGAGACCCUGUCUCUAAAAUAAAAUAUAAAAAGGUCUGGGGAUAUGGCUCAGUGGUUAAGUGCCCCAGGUUCAAUCCCUGGUACUAAAAAAUAAAUAAAAGAGAAAAAAGAAAAAUAAAGUUAAUAAAUGCUUGCUUUGACCUUACAAUAUACAGAACCUUACAAAAAGAAAAUUACUUUUAAUCACCAUUAAUUUUCUCUUUUUUCAUAAUAUAUACAUAGUUAAGAUUAUUAUAUUUGGUCACAUUCAUCUUUUUCUGUGAAGUAUUUCAAACACAAAAAGGAAAGGCAUGUAACAACUGUUGUGUAUUCAUCUUCAUAUGCUUUAUCCUCAGUUUCAUUCUUUUUUCCUACCUCCCCAGGGUGACCAGUUUUCUGAAUUCUGUCCAUUAAUGUUCUUUAUACUGUACAUAUCUGCAUGUCCAUAAACAAUUAUAUAGUACUGCUUUGUGUGUUUUUAAAUUAUAUGAAUGUUUUCCUACAUCUACCUUUUGCAAUCGCACAUUCUUAUUUUUGUGAAAUUCAUACAUGUUAAUAUUUGUUUAAACUGUUAUAUUCCUAAAUAACGGUUUGUUUCCAUUUGCAUUUAGUGUCAUUUAGUAAAUAGAUGGUACCAUACUUCCUUUUGGAGUGUUGAAGAUAUGUAUAGAACCUGGGUUGUGGGGUGUCUUCAUUUUCACCGUAGUUGGGUAUUGCCAAACAUUGUAAAAUGACCUUAACCUUUUCUUCUGUCAUUAGCAUAGGGGAGCUUGGUGGUGUUGGAGUUUCAAUUUUGUAUCUUACAUUAUUUUCUGUUUCCUUGAUGUGUAUUUUGAGCCCUGUUCCUUGUCCUUUAGAGUGGUUUGAAAAUUAUUGUCAUUAACUGCAGGGUAGUUUAUCAUGUUUUUGAAUUCUGCAGCAUUUCAGAUUUGGAUUUUUGGAUUUUGGAUGCUCAACUGGUAAUGUCUAUGCUAAUAUUCCAAAAUUCAGAAAACACUGAAAUCUGAAGCACUUCUGUCCCAAGUAUUUUGGAUAAGGAAUCCUUAGUCUGUACAUAAAUACUUCUUUGUACUUAAGUUUGGUUUCUUAGGACAGAUUGCUAAAGGGUCAAUUCCUGGGCUAAAGAUUAUGAAUAUUUUAAGAAUCAUGUUUCAUAUCUCCAGAUUGCUUCUAGAGUGUCCUGUUUAUCUUCUUCAGCAUCAAGGAGGAGGAGGAGGAGGAGGAGCAUGAUGAUUUUUGGUUCUAGGGAUUGAACCCAAGGCCUCAAGUGUUCUAUUUGAUAUCUGAACCGUAUCCCCAACCCUUUUUAAUUUUUAUUUUGAGACAGGGUCUUCCUAAGUUGCUUUGGCUGCCCUCAAACUUACAAUUGUUCUGCUUCCUGAUGAGUAGCUGGAAUUAUAGUCAUGGACCACCAUGGCUGGCUAAUUUUUUGUCUUUAAUUUUAGGACUUUGAUAGGUAAAAAUUCAUCCCUGUGUUUUUUGGAAGUAAUGUCAUUGUGACAUAUUCAUUUGAUGCUACUAGUAAUAGAGUUCACCAGUGGUAAUCAUGAUCUGUUGUUUUCCUUUCUCUUUAAAAAAACUGUUAUAGUUUCUUGUGACUAUAUCAUAGUUUGCCUUUGACUAAUUGUUCUUCCUGUCUAGGAAUGACACUGUGCGCUUUGCUUUGGAUGUCCUGGCUAUUCUCACUGUGGUGCCAAAAAUCCAGCUCCAGUUGGCAGAAUCAGUGGAUGUAUUGGAUGAAGCUGGCUCUACCAUCUCCACUGUAGGUAGGUUGACAUUUUUGUUGUUGCUUUGUGUGAAUUUGUUAUCCUUUGCUGGUUGUGGUUACUUACCUAAUUUUGGGAUAUUAGAACAGAAAGUAGUAGAGGAAGGUUCCUUGUUUUUCCUCUUAUAAAUAGCACCAUAUAGUUUCACAUAAGGGAGUCAUGCUAGUAAAUUCAGGGUUUGUGAGUGGUUCAGGCAUUUCUGCUAUAAUGGUAGGUGUGCAUUUCCGAACACAUUACAGUGCAGAGUGUUGCACUAAAAAUAAAGUUUAUGGUGUAAUGGGUUGUGGCCAGUAGUAAAAGACUGUUUUCUAACUGUUUUGUGGAAGCAGCUUUGUAAUCUGAACACUAAAAAUAAUCAGUAAUAGAGGGGCAACUCAAAAUGUUUGGCAACCAUACACAAGGAAAAUAGCUUUUAUUUGAAGAUAUUCCUUUAUUAAGAGCAGGUUUCUGAGGGUACUAUAUUGAAGUUAGCAAGGGAGAUAAUGUUACUGACUCUGGUUCCUGGAGUACACCACUCUGCUGGGGGCACUUGGUUUUAUUUAUUUAUUUAUUUGCUUUAAUGAUGUGUCCCUGGCAAGACUGCUAAAACCAGAUGUUGUAUCACCACUGCUGUGAGGAGAAAGCCAAAGGUUCAGGCACUUGUAUUUAUUCAUUCAUUCAUUCAUUCAUUCAUUUAUUUAUUUAUUUUUGUGGUACUUGGGAUUAAACUCAAUGUUGCUCUACUGCUGAGAUACAUUCCCAGCCCUUCUUUUUUUUGGGGGGGGGGGGGUACCGGGGAUUGAACUCAGGGGCACUUGACCUCUGAGCCACAAUCCCCAGGCUUAUUUUGUAUUUUUUAGAGAUGGAGUCUUACUAAAUUGCUUUGCACUUUGCCAUUGCUGAGGCUGGCUUUGAAUUUUGCGAUCCUCCUGUGUUAACCUUCUGAGCUGCUGGGAUUACAGGUGUGAGCCACUGUGCCCAAUCCCAGACAUUUUUAAAUUUUUUAUUUUGAAACUGAAUCUCACUAAGUUUCUGAUGCUGCCCUCGAAUUUGUGGUUCCCUUGCUUCAGCUCCCGAGUUGCUGGGAUUAUAGGCAUAAUGCACUGUGCCUUGUUCUGGCUAAUUUUCUUAAUAUGUAGUGGAAAAGGUUCCCACUGCCAUGGUAGCAGCUGAACUCUGAGGGCUCUUUCUUUUCCUGUAGAAGUUUUUAAUUUAUUCCCACUCUUUUGUUCCCCUUACUUAGGAAAAUUUGUGCAUGAACCUUGGUGACUUACACAUAAUACUAAUAUUAUUUGCUUAUUUAAUAACUACAUGUGAGGUAUUAUAUUAUAAAGUUACAUUGUAACUAACUGAGCAUGGUGGCAUACCUGUAAUCCCAGUAAUUUAGAAGUCUGAGGCAGGAGGAUUGCAAUUUUGACUAGCCCUGUCUCAAAAACUUUAAAGGGAUGGGGAAAUUUAAAAAAAGGAAAAAAAAAAAAAUUAGUGGGAAUGUAGUUCAGUGAAAGAGUGCCCCUGGGUUCAAUCCCCAGUAUCACAGAAACAAAACCAAAAAACAUUAUAGUAGAACUGAUUGUAUUUUAUGCAAAAAAUUUCUUGUACUUUAAAAAAAAUAUAGGUUUUUUCUCCCCCCUAUUCAACCAAUAAUUAGAACUCCAAAUUUUGGUUCUGGGACAACCAGUAAAGUGUUAACCAUUUGUUUUGUGAGAAAUAAUAUAUAUUUUUUCCCUCUCAUAGGUAUCAGCAUUAUUUUAGGAGUGGCUGAGGGUGAGUUCUUUAUCCAUGAUGCUGAGAUUCAGAAGUCUGCACUUCAGAUUAUCAUCAAUUGUGUGUGUGGCCCGGAUAACCGAAUAUCUAGUAUUGGCAAAUUUAUUUCUGGAACUCCUCGCAGAAAGUUGCCUCAGACCCCCAAGAGCAGUGAGCACACCCUGGCCAAGAUGUGGAAUGUGGUUCAGUCUAACAAUGGCAUCAAGGUGCUUCUGUCUUUGCUGUCCAUCAAGAUGCCCAUCACAGAUGCAGACCAGAUUCGGGCCCUGGCUUGCAAGGCUCUGGUGGGCCUGUCUCGCAGUAGCACUGUCCGGCAGAUCAUCAGCAAACUGCCCCUUUUCAGCAGCUGCCAGAUCCAGCAGCUGAUGAAGGAGCCUGUGCUGCAGGACAAGCGUAGUGACCAUGUCAAAUUCUGCAAGUAUGCCGCUGAACUCAUUGAACGGGUGUCAGGAAAGCCACUUCUCAUUGGCACUGAUGUCUCCCUGGCACGGCUGCAAAAAGCAGAUGUUGUUGCCCAGUCAAGAAUCUCCUUCCCUGAGAAAGAGCUGCUUCUGUUGAUACGAAACCAUCUCAUUUCUAAAGGGCUUGGAGAGACAGCAACUGUGCUGACAAAAGAGGCUGACCUGCCCAUGACUGCUGCCUCCCAUUCUUCUGCCUUCACCCCAGUAACUGCUGCUGCUUCUCCUGUCUCUCUUCCUCGAACGCCUCGUAUUGCUAAUGGCAUUGCAACUAGAUUGGGUAGCCAUGCUGCUGUGGGUGCUUCUGCUCCUUCUGCCCCUACUGCCCAUCCUCAGCCACGGCCCCCACAGGGUUCAUUAGCUCUGCCUGGUCCAUCUUAUGCAGGCAACUCCCCUUUGAUUGGUAGGAUCAGUUUUAUUAGAGAGAGGCCGUCACCCUGUAAUGGCAGAAAAAUCAGAGUGUUGCGGCAGAAGUCGGACCAUGGUGCCUACAGCCAGAGCCCAGCCAUAAAAAAGCAGUUGGACAGACAUCUUCCUUCCCCACCUACGCUGGACAGUAUCAUCACAGAAUAUCUUAGAGAGCAACAUGCUCGCUGCAAGAAUCCAGUUGCCACCUGUCCACCUUUCUCUCUCUUUACUCCUCACCAAUGUCCUGAGCCAAAACAGAGGCGGCAAGCGCCAAUAAACUUUACCUCAAGGCUAAACCGCAGGGCAUCAUUUCCAAAAUAUGGAGGGGUAGAUGGCGGAUGCUUUGAUAGGCACCUUAUCUUUAGCAGGUAAGGAGAGCCUCCUUUGUGGAAAUUGGAAUGAUUCUUAUAUUUAGAUCAAAGUGUUUGGGCAGUAUCGGCACAGUGAUUAGUUAAGAAAGCCAUUGUUGGCCUGAAAUACAAGUUUGUCAUUGUGUCUACACAAGUGAUAUAAGUGUACCACCUUUUGUCAACCAUAGAUUCCUUGUGUUAUUGUUGACAAUAUAUUGAUAUGAUAGUCAAAAGCAGUUUAUUUUCUAGAACCCAUACAACACACCACCCCUAGUCAAGCUUUCAAACUUGUCUUUGUCCAAGUUGCCUUCCAUUCUUAUCCUUUACAAACCUAACAUAAAGGUGGUGUGAUCACAGCUUUAAAAUGGGAAUCUUUGUUUAAUUUGUAAGUGCAUUUGUGCAUUUCUGAACCCCUUACACUUCAGAGUCUUGCACUAAAAAUAAAGUUUAUGGUGUAACAGGUUGUGGCCAGUAGUAAAGACUGUUUUCUAACAGUUUGUUAAGAGCGGCUUUGUAACCUGAACACUAAAAAUCAUCAGUAAUAGAUGGGCAACUCAAAAUGGUUGGCAACCAUUUUGAAGCAGGUUGGCAACCUGUUUCACUUUUCUUGCUAAGGAUUGUUAAUUUCUCAUUUAAAAUGAAAAUGAACCAUGAAGGUCAUUGAUAUUUCAGAAAAGCUUACUUUUUGAAAUGUAAUUCUGUUUUUUCUUUAUUCUUUCUAGCAGAUUUUCCUUUUCAGAGUUCUUGUAUAUAUCUUUUGCCUCUGAUUCUCAGUUUUUUAUUUUUUGCUUAGAUUUCGCCCUAUUUCAGUGUUUCGGGAAGCCAAUGAAGACGAGAGUGGCUUUACCUGCUGUGCAUUCUCAGCACGAGAGCGGUUCUUGAUGCUUGGUACCUGCACAGGGCAGCUGAAGCUGUACAAUGUAUUUAGUGGACAGGAGGAGGCCAGCUAUAACUGUCACAACUCAGCCAUCACACACCUUGAACCCUCCAGGGUAAGUGCUUCUUCCCUGGAUGCUCUCAAUCAUUCUGAGACAGGUUGGUGAAGUGGAGAAAAGGAGACUCACCUUUGUUGGGUCUGAUUCUUUUUGAAUCAGGUGGAAAUUCUAGUUGAAGAUGACUUGUAUUUCAGAGGAAUAUGGCCAGGUAUUAAGAAGAGAGGAAUCAUCACUGACAUCUUUACAACAUAUUGGAGCUAUUUAAAACAAUUUUUUAAAAACUAGUUUAGGAGGAUUUACUGUUCUUAUAAUUAUUUUCUAGGGCACUACAGGUUCUUAUAUUUAAAUCCUACUGGUUUCUGAGUAUUUCUUGGUUCUGGAGAGUUUUUUAUUUUUUCUUGAAUCAAAUGUUUUUUAUCUUUGUAUGUUAAAAUGCUAAUGUCAGAGACAUCUGCAUAUGUGUAAAUACAUGUUUACCCACCUUGGGUCUCCUCCUCCUUUUAGGAUGGGUCCUUGCUGCUGACAUCUGCUACCUGGAGCCAGCCUUUGUCUGCACUUUGGGGAAUGAAAUCAGUAUUUGAUAUGAAGUAUGUAUUAUUUACUUUUGUAGUCUCAUGUCUCUGUGUUUUCAUUACUUAAUUUGUAUCCCCCUUCAUCUGGUUUUAGACAAGGAGCCUUUUGGGAAAAAAUGAGGCUCAUGUUUAAUAAGAUUUUAUCUUUCUCAUUUUCUCGAUAUUCUUUUUUUUUUAAAAAAAAUAUUUUUUUUUUGGAGUUGGACACAAUAAUUUUAUUUAUUUUUAUGUGGUGCUGAGGAUCAAACCCAGGGCCUUGCACAUGUGAGGCGAGCGCUCUAUUGCUGAGCCAUAACCUCAGCCCCAUCAUUAUCUAGAUAUUCCUUUUUUUAAAUAAAAAUAUUUAUUUUUUAGUUUCAUGUGGACACAAUAUCUUUAUUUUAUUUUUAUGUGGUGUUGAGGAUCGAAUCCAGAGCCCCACGCAUGCCAGGCUAGCAUGCUACCGCUUGAGCCACAUCCCCAGCCCUAGAUAUUCUUUUUAAAAAUAUUCUUUUAGUUGUAGAUGAACCCACAGUAUCUUUAUUUAUUUUUUAUGUGGUGCUGAGGAUUGAACCCAGUGCCUCACACAUGCGAGGAAAGCGCUUUACCACUGAGCUAUAUAGCCCCAGCCCUCUAGAUAUUCUUAUGAAGUGUUUACAUUCCAGUUGUGCAGCAGACCCUUGACUAACCCAUAAUGACACAUUUAUGGUUUUUUUUUUCCCCUAAGUAUUUACAUAGGGUAUAAUUGCACUGUUUGCUGGGGUGUUUCUUUUUCUUUUUUUAAAUGUUUACUUUUUAGUUGUAGUUGGACACAAUACCUUUAUUUUAUUUAUUUUUAUAUAGUGCUGAGGAUUGAACCCAGGGCCUCGCACGUGCUAGGUGAAUGCUCUGCCGCUGAGCCACAACUCCAGCUCCUGGGGUAUUUCUUUUAGAGAACUAGGCUGGCAUUCUACUGCUGAGCUAUACUCACAUGUACCCUAUUAGCCAUUUCUGUAAUCAAGGAAUUCCUGUUAAUUAUUUGGGGUCCUCACGGGUGUUCUAGUGGAGGGAAUUUUCUUUUUAAUUCACGUGUGUACAGUUGUUUUCUCUUUGGGAGCCAACCUCACAGAUGUUCUAGUGGAGGGACUUUUCUUUUUAAUUCAAGUGUGUACAGUUGUUUUCUCUUUGGGAGCUAAGGAUUUUGGGUGAGUACGGUUGUGCAAGGGGCUGAUUUUCAGUUUGUUAAAAGCAUAAAUCUUGAGGGUGUGUCAUUUUGGUAUGUUUAUUGUUUGUAGGCAUUCCUUUGCAGAAGAUCACUAUGUUGAGUUCAGUAAGCACUCUCAGGAUCGGGUCAUAGGCACAAAAGGAGACAUUGCCCAUGUGAGUACUUAAGCAUUCAUUGCUUUAAGCUGAUUUUACUCAUUUGUUCCUACUGAAAUCUUCUGGAUCGGAUGUGAGGACUUAAGUCUUACGGGUGGGUCACUAGAAAUACUCAAUGAUUUUCCUACCAGUUAAAAUCUAAAAGUGUAAUAAAGUAGUUUUAAGUUAUAUGGGAAGAAUAUGAAAGUGCUGAACAUGGAAUUUGAGAAAGAUAUUAAAGGCCAGCAGAUUCGUUGUUGAGUUCUUACUAAGUUUUAGUUAAAUUAAGGUCUGUGCCUUUUAUGGAGCCUGAAGCAGUAAAUAAAGAAACAAAUAUAUGCUGUAAUUAGGUGGUGUUGCAGGAAAAAAGAAAGUAAGAGGAAAUGCUUGUUGGAGGUGUGGGGGAUUUCUGUUUUAUCUGGGAUAGCCAACAUUACAGAUUGGUUACUGUUUGAGCAGAGCCAUGAAGGAAGCAUGAUUGAAGCAGAGAGGCAAAAGAGGUUGUAAGGCAGAGGGAAUGGAAGGGAAAAGCCCUUGCUUGCGGGGAGGGAAGAGAGGAGAGGGUAAGUGCUGAGGUCAGUGAUGACCCCAUAUUUUAUAGUUAGGACCAACCUUUGGCUUUUCCACUGAGUAAGAUGAAGACACUGGAUGGUGAUCAGAGGAUAUAUGAUUCAGUGUAAAAUUUCUAUAGUGGCUCUGGUUUCUUUGAGAGAGGCAAUAGCAGACCUUCCAGUUAGGCCAGAAGAUGUUGUACCAGCCUAUAUGUGAGAAGAGCAAUACAGCUGGGUACAUGUGGGCAUGGAGAGACCAUGAGAAAUGAUAGGCCAUGACCCUGGGGUUUUGGACACAUGAAGUUUGAAAUUCAUUAGACAUUCAGUAGGGAAUGGGGAGUGGAAUAUAUAUAUAUAUAUAUAUACAUACAUACAUACAUACAUACAUACACACACACACACACACACAGUUUGAGAGUUCAGGAGAAAGGUCUGGGAUGGGAGAUAUAAAUAUGAGUUAUAUAUACAUGGUGAUAGUAAUUAGAGCCAUGAACCUGGAUGAGAUCAAAGGGCUAAAGAUGAAAAAGAUUGUGAGGACAGAGCCCUGGUUGUUCCACUAUAUAAAAAUUGGCAAAUGUGGGAGAAAAUGUUGGCAAAUGAAGAUGGACUUGAGAAGGAGCUCUAGAGAGAGUGGCCAGUGAGGCAGAAGGAAGUCCAGAAGACAGGUACCCUAGAAACCAAUGAAAAUAAAUUUGAGAAAGGAUUGAUCAGUGAGUCAGAAACAGUUAAUGAAUUGUAGAAGAUGAGUACUGAAAGAAGACUAACAAUGUAGAGGUUGUUAACCUUGUCAAGAAAUAAUUCUGUAUUCUGGUGGAGCAAAACCUGAUUAGAGUGGUUCAUGAAAGAGCAGGAGAGAAAUGGACACACUUGUACAUGUAAUUUUUUUUAAAAAUAUUUUUGCUGAAAACCAAAGCAGAGAAAGAAGGGUCACACGUUGAGGAGUCUGUAGGAUGAAAUUUAGGGAUAAUUUUCUCCUAAAUUCUCAUUUGAAAAUAUUGAAACAUAGAAAAAUGAAAGAGUAGUAUAUAUAUAUUCACUUCCUAGAUAAGUUUAAUAUUUUGCCAUAUUUUGUAUGUAAAUGUGUAUGUGUUGUUUUGAAUUAUUUUGAAGUUGAAAAUUAUAAGCAUCAUCAUGGCAUUUUUAUCCUUCAGUAUUAUGGUGUGUAUCUCCUAACAAUAGAUAUUUUGAUAUAAAAUCAUUUAGCAAAUUUAAGAAAAUUGUAGUAAUUCCCAAAUAUUAUUUGAUAUUUAGUCCAUACUCAAUUUUCCCAUUUGUUCCUGAUGUAUUUGGUUUCAAAUGUUUGUUUGUUUUUUUUGAACCAGGAUCCAGCCAAGAUUCACACAUUGCAUUUGAUUGUUAUGUCUUACUAAUGUUUUAAAGCCAAGAACCAUUUCUCCAGUUUUCAUGACAUUGACUUUUGAAGAGACCAGGCUAGUUGUCUUAUCCCAUGAUAUGAAUUUGUUUGUUUCCUUGUGGUGUUUCCUUAUUUGUUUCAAAGAAAAGAUUUGAAGUAAUAUAGUGUGUCUGUAAGCUGAUGGGAAAGAUCUGGUCUCUGCAUGUGUUGCAUAUUGUAGACUUUGAAAACUUUUAAUAUGGUGGGGCUAAAAUGUUUACAUUGGGAGAUUUUAUGGAGAAAAGAUUAUUUCAUUGAUGUCUUUCUCCAGAAAAUAACACUUUAAAGAGUAUUCUGUGGGUAAUCAAUGAUUGAUAUGGACAAUUUUUUUUAAGUUGUUUAUGCAUCUUUAUUUUAUUUAUUUGUAUAUGGUGUUGAGAAUUGAACCCAGUGCUUCACACAUGCUAGGCAAGUGCUCUACCACUGAGCUACAACCCAGUUGUUUCAGUGUAAAUGUUUUCUGUUUCUUGAAAAGGGGAAGGGAAGGAAAAUUUGUUUUUCUUAAGUGCCUACAUAGUUUCACUUCUCUUUUUCUUACUAGUGGGAAAGGGCUUUUUUAAGAUUUGACUAUGAAACAAAGCACUUAAACUUUGCUUGAAUGGGUAUGAUCUUCUUACCAGUCAUUUUACAGUAUUAGGGCUUUUGUAAUUUGUCAGGGUAGGGGUAGGGGAAGCUUAGAAAGCAUGGGAGAAGCAUUUUAUACAGUUUCUCUUUAAAUUUGUCUAUGGACGGAUUGGUCUGAUUUUUCUCUUCCCACCCCUUCUUCUCUAAAGAUUUAUGAUAUUCAGACUGGCAACAAGCUGUUGACUCUGUUUAACCCAGAUCUUGCCAACAACUACAAGAGGAAUUGUGCCACCUUUAAUCCUACAGAUGAUCUUGUCUUAAAUGAUGGCGUCCUCUGGGAUGUCCGCUCUGCACAGGCCAUUCACAAGUUUGACAAGUUCAACAUGAACAUCAGUGGCGUUUUCCAUCCAAAUGGGCUGGAGGUCAUCAUUAAUACUGAAAUUGUAUCCUUUGCACUCCAUUUGUUAUCCAGUUUGUUAAGCAGAAGUUCUUUUUUUUUUUUCUUUGUUUUUUCCACAUCCAGAGAUUUAUUCUUAUUUGCCAAACAAAUUAUUUUGUUAUAAUUCACAAUUUUCUAGAGACCUAUCUCACCCUAGAUAAAACUAGCAUUUACAACCAUUAUUACUACAUAAUUUUGACACAGUAGAAUCCAGGGGUUGCCAAUUUUCUUUUUAACCAUAGUACUGAUUUAUUAACCCUGGGGUGCUGGAUUUUUUUUUUUUUUAAUUUUAAUUUUUUUUUUUUAGUCAUACAUGACAGUAGAAUGCAUUUUGAUAUAUAAUACAUAAAUGGAAUGUACAUACAUCAAUCAUAUUGUCUAUUCUGCUUCCCUUCCUAUCCUCCCUACUCCUCCUCUCCUCUCCCAUCCUUUCUCUCUAUCCAAUCUAAUGUGACACACUUUUUUUUUCUUUUUUCAUCACAACAUCAUAUAUGUAUUCUGUAUAACAAUGAGGUUCUCCUCCCAUCUUCUGGGCAACUCCCCUUCUCCCUCUUUUUCCCUCCCACCUCUCUUCCCUAUUUAGUGGUAGUCGUCUUCUUAUGCUCUUCCUCCCUAUCCCAUUUUGAGUCACCCUCCUUAUAUCAGAGAAGACAUUCGGCAUUUAUUUUUUAGGGAUUGGCUAACUUCACUUAGCAUAAUCUGCUUUAAUGCCAUCCAUUUGCCUGCAAAUGCUAUGAUUUUAUUAUUUUUUAGAAGCAGAAGUUCUUUCUAGCAGUACCAGGUUAAAGUAUCCACACUGAUAAUAAUGUGGUGCCUCUCCUUUGGUUUGAAAUGUUAGUGAGUUUCCAGUGGACUAUAUUGUUGUUAUUGGGAAUUAAUGAUGACUUUAACUAGCAUAUUUUCUAUGUUUUAGGAAGAGUGACUAGAUUCCUGGCUAUCAUUAUCAAAUUGAUUUUUGUUUAUCUUUGGAAGGAUUUUACUUUUGCUCUAUAGAAAUCAGUUGCUAGACAUAAGAAAAUGAAGUGCUACUACAGGGAAGAGGGAAUUCACGUAGCAUUUAUUUACAUAAAGAGUAUACUGGGGACAUCAUUCAAUAAUAUCUAUGACUUUUAAAGUAUCAGUACCUAGCAAGAGGGGAACAAAAGUGAUGUUUCAGAAUUUCCAUGAGGUUAGAUAAGAACUUUUGUGUGAAAUAGUUUUCCUUGACUACUCCUUUUCCAAGUGGGACCUUCGAACUUUCCAUCUUUUACAUACUGUUCCUGCUCUGGAUCAGUGUCGUGUGGUGUUCAACCACACGGGAACAGUGAUGUAUGGAGGUAAUAAACUUUUCACUUCAUUCUCUUUUCUUCUACUCACUUAAUUGGAUACUUCUUUUUUUGGAAAUUCUGCUUUUGUGAGAAGCACUUUAAAGUUCUGACGUAGAUGAAAAGGUUAGUGCGGUGGUAACAAAAAAGAAGGUUAAAAAUAACAUUGAUUUAGAAUGAAAGGCAACUAACUUUGAAGUCAACAAAUCUUGUAUAGAAAGAAAUUUUAUGCUAUGAUUUCCACACAUAUGUCUUAAAAACCUUUUUAUUUAUUGUUUUAGGAUGUUGUAAGCCUUCAGCUGUUACAUUUAUUGUGGGCUAGAUGAGAAGUUGAGGACAUUGUUUGCCACCAAUAGAUUGGAUAUGCAAGGAAGACAGUUUGAGAGGAACUAACUAAAUACAGGGAAACUGACUGAAAUCUUGAUUGGCCAUUAAAAUUUUCUGCACUUGUGAAUAUGGAAUGUUUCUGAUUCUUAACAGUAUUUUAUUAUUCCCCUGUCCCCAACUAGCUAUGUUGCAGGCAGAUGAUGAAGAUGACUUAAUAGAAGAGAGGAUGAAAAGUCCUUUUGGUUCAUCCUUUCGCACAUUUAACGCAACUGAUUACAAACCUAUAGGUAAGCAUGUAGGGGCAGGUAUUGAUCAUUUUUUCCCCUCUUAUUUGAGGUACUGGCAGUUGUAUCCCCCAUAUUUUUUUAUUUUUAAGACAGGGUCUCUCUAAGUUAUACAGGUUAGCCUUGAACUCGUGAUCUUCCUGUCUCAGUCCUCCAAGUCACUGGGAUUACAGGCAUGCACCACUAACACAUGUUCAUGUAUUAGUUGAAUCAUUUGUUCUUUUUCUUUGUUUUUAGUACCAGGGAUUAAACCCACUGAGCCACAUCUUCAGCUCUUUUUAAAAAAAUUUAAAAUUUUUUUUUUUUCUGGUUAUUUCUUUUUUUUAAUUUGUUUUAAUUAAUUACACAUGACAGUUUAAUGAUCUUGACAUAUCAUAGAUUUGAAUCAGAUGGGGUAUAAUUUCUCAUUUUUCUGAGUGUACAUGUUGCAGAAUCACAUUGGUCAUACAGUCUGGGUAUUUCUUUGUAGGAAAAAAUUUUAAAUUUUGAGACAGGGUCUCACUGAGUUGCUGAGGCUGGCUUUAAACUUGCAAUCCUCCUGCCUUCCUCCCAAAUUGCUGGGAUUGCAGAGUCAUGUACCACUGCACCCAGCUCCAGGGAGCUUUCUUUACGUCUUAAUGUUACUUUUUUUUUUUUUUAAGAGAGAGAAUUUUUUUUUUUAAUAUUUAUUUUUUAGUUUUUGGCGGACACAACAUCUUUGUUUGUAUGUGGUGCUGAGGAUCGAACCCGGGCCACACGCAUGCCAGGCGAGCGCGCUACCACUUGAGCCACAUCACCAGCCCUUAAUGUUACUUUUAAAGGUCCUCCACUUUCCAGGAGGACUGUAACUUUUCACUGAAAAUCAGAGGAGUUUUGGUAAUAUUUAUGAAUAAUCACUUUAACUUCCUAUAGAAGAAAAGCAGGUUUUAAGGUCACAGCUAUAAGUCCAGUCCUGAGUCUUGUCACAUUCUGUUUUUCAGCAACCAUUGAUGUGAAGC